rnacentral:rRNA from 1 species
CCUACGGGAGGCAGCAGUGAGGAAUAUUGGUCAAUGGGCGGGAGCCUGAACCAGCCAAGCCGCGUGAGGGAAGAAGGUACAGCGUAUCGUAAACCUCUUUUGUCAGGGAACAAAGGCGGGGACUAGUCCCCGGAUGAGGAUACCUGAAGAAAAAGCAUCGGCUAACUCCGGGCCAGCAGCCGCGGUAAUACGGAGGAUGCGAGCGUUAUCCGGAUUUAUUGGGUUUAAAGGGUGCGUAGGCGGCCGGUUAAGUCAGCGGUAAAAGGCCGGGGCUAAACCCCGGCGAGCCGUUGAAACUGGCGGGGUUGAGUGGGCGAGAAGUACGCGGAAUGCGCGGUGUAGCGGUGAAAUGCAUAGAUAUCGCGCAGAACCCCGAUUGCGAAGGCAGCGUACCGGCUCCAAACUGACGCUGAGGCACGAAAGCGUGGGUAUCGAACAGGAUUAGAUACCCUUGUAGUC